rnacentral:misc_RNA from 1 species
AACGCACAUUGCGCCCUCUGGUAUUCCGGGGGGCAUGCCUGUUCGAGCGUCAUUAUAACCACUCAAGCUCUCGCUUGGUAUUGGGGUUCGCGGUUCCGCGGCCCCUAAAAUCAGUGGCGGUGCCUGUCGGCUCUACGCGUAGUAAUACUCCUCGCGUCUGGGUCCGGUAGGUCUACUUGCCAGCAACCCCCAAUUUUUACAGGUUGACCUCGGAUCAGGUAGGGAUACCCGCUGAACUUAA